UGAGGAAUAUUGGACAAUGGGCGCAAGCCUGAUCCAGCCAUGCCGCGUGCAGGAUGACGGUCCUAUGGAUUGUAAACUGCUUUUGUACAGGAAGAAACAGUUCUACGUGUAGAACCUUGACGGUACUGUAAGAAUAAGGAUCGGCUAACUCCGUGCCAGCAGCCGCGGUAAUACGGAGGAUCCAAGCGUUAUCCGGAAUCAUUGGGUUUAAAGGGUCCGUAGGCGGUUAGAUAAGUCAGUGGUGAAAGCCCAUCGCUCAACGGUGGAACGGCCAUUGAUACUGUCUGACUUGAAUUAUUAGGAAGUAACUAGAAUAUGUAGUGUAGCGGUGAAAUGCUUAGAGAUUACAUGGAAUACCAAUUGCGAAGGCAGGUUACUACUAAUGGAUUGACGCUGAUGGACGAAAGCGUGGGUAGCGAACGGGAUUAGAUACCCGCGUAGUCCCUGAGCGGGCUGGCAAGGCGCAU
rnacentral:rRNA from 1 species